rnacentral:rRNA from 1 species
CCUACGGGUGGCAGCAGUGAGGAAUAUUGGUCAAUGGCCGGAAGCCUGAACCAGCCAAGCCGCGUGAAGGACGACUGUGCCAAGCGUUGUAAACUUCUUUUAUCAAGGAAUAAAGUCAGGCUCGAGAGCCUGACCGUGUGUACUUGAAGAAUAAGCAUCGGCUAACUCCGUGCCAGCAGCCGCGGUAAUACGGAGGAUGCGAGCGUUAUCCGGAUUUAUUGGGUUUAAAGGGUGCGUGGGCGGUGGGUUAAGUCAGCGGUAAUAUCCCGGGGCUCAACGCCGAAGAGCCAUUGAUACUGGCUGUCUGGAAAGGUGGUGCGGUAUGAGGAAUGUGCAGUGUAGCGGUGAAAUGCUUAGAUAUCGCGCAGAACACCGAUUGCGAAGGCAGCACAC